rnacentral:lncRNA from 1 species
CUUGCCUCGGAAUUGGCUUCUGGGGAAACCAAAAAUAUAUUAAAAAAAGAGAGACCAGGACCUUAAAAAGAGCCCAAGUUGUUGAGCUCCCUGCCAAGUCACCCCCAGGUAUCUCUGCCCACCAGCUUGCAUGAGCCAGAUCCUCAGUGCAGGUUUUUCCAAUCAGUCAUUUGUUCUUCCACCCAACGCUCAAGAUUUGCUUCUUCAAGACAACUCUCUGAUCAGCUGAGACCCAUAGACACCCAGCUUCUACCACACAUAUGAUGGCAUUAUCCUAGGGCAUGGCAGAGCAACGCAAGGGAAAACUCUGGGCCCCCAAGUGAUGUCAUGGAGGAGAACUCUCAACCCAGAACUACUACGUGAGAAACAACGCUCUCUCUUCUUUAAGCCAUAGGUGUGUUGGGAAUCUUUGUUACAGCAGCACGCCUGAUCUUUUGUUUUGUUUUGUUUUGUUUUAGAGAUGGAGUCUUGCUCUUUCGCCAGGCUGGAGUGCAGUGGUGCGAUCUUGGCUCACCAUGUUGGUCAGGCUGGUUUCAAAUCCCUGACCUCAAGUGAUCCUCCCACCUUGGCCUCCCAAAGUGCUGGGAUUACAGGUGUGAGCCACCGCACCCGGCCCAGCCAUGCCUUGUCUUAACUAGCAUAGCCGCCCAACGUCCACUUCUUUUGGCCAUGUUGUCCUGAUUCUGCUGGAGAAUCCCUUUCCCACUGCUCCCAGACCAGUGGUGUAGCUGACCUGCGCUCUCUCCACUCAAUUCAGGGGAGGGAGGGGUUUAGGCCUGGGCUAAGAGAGCUGCACAUUUCCCAGGGCACAGUGAUUAGUUGAGGGUGGGUCCCAGAGCCAAAUCUGCCCAAGAUCUUAGCCUGAAAGAGAAACCCUCCUGCUGAGUGACUGCACUGUGAGGCAGAAGUCCAGAGCUGUGGGUGGCCAUCCAGCCUCCAUUUGCGCCUGCCUGAGAAAGAAGCCACCAUGGGGGAAAUCGAGCUAAAAGACGGAGAGGGAGGUAAGAGAGGAUGACAUCACAUAAGCACCAGAUCUGGCCACCCCUGAAACUGGAACAACCCUAAGCUUUACAGCUACUACAUUCCCUUUUCUGCUGAAGUUGUUUUACACUGGGUUUCUGUCUCUUGCAACCAAGAGCUCUGUUAAAUAAAAACCUGACCCUAAGGAGAACGUUAGCUGGUUCACAAUUCCCUGUGCAAAACAGGCACAGGUCAGCUGCCCCAGCCUGUCGUUUGGAUAUUCCUUUCUAAGAACGCUCACUUUUGUUGUCUACAUGACCCAGAUAACCAAGGAGAAAGCAAAUCAACCGCCUUCCAGCGGCGCCUUCCUUGGCAGCAAGUGCUAAGAGAGAACACAAUGUGAGUACUCUGCCCUCUGGAGUCAGGGUUGAUCCUCAGCACUUGCUGUCCUGGGAGGCUGCACCUGUGACACUUGAGUGCCAGGUUCAACCCCUACUGCUGCUGCUGCUGCCUGAAUGGGGCCAUUUAGACUGUUGAGUGCUACAGCCUCAGCCCAGGAACCCGGAGCUUCACAUGAGGCAGAGCAGGGCCCCAGGGUCCCUGAAACUUGCCAGUUCAAACAGCAGAGGGGUGAGGACUCCCCAGUCAGCCCUGGUCUCAUACCUGCCUCUGCAUGGUCCCAGUCCAGCCUGAGGCCUUUGCUUUCUUUUUUGAAGGGAAGGUGAGGAGAGAGGGGGAAAAUAGAGGUGUUCUGACUAGACUUAGGAUUCCUGGCCUCUGCCUCUGACCGCCAGAGGACAGCCUCUGCAGUUGCCUCAUCUACUCAUGAAAACAGGCCUGUGACCCCAGGGGUGCUCUGAGGAUUCUUCCAGAAAACAUCUGCCCAGCUAGGACUACCUAGCUCACUGCCCAAAAAGGGUUCAUUUCCUUUCCUUCUGAAACAAAAGCGCUUAAUUGGAAGAGAAGCAUUGACUCAAGCUAUAGGAUAUGCCACUUAAAAUGUCCAGAUCUUGGCACAAGGCCUGGCGCACAGUGUGGGAGAGAAGGAGAGAAGAAGGUGGAAGGAAAGGAGGGAGGGGAAAGAGGAAGCAGGGAGGGAGAAAAUAAGACAAGGGCCUCCUCAUCUGGAUGCUUCCCUAGACCAAGAAGUGGCCCAGGUGGUGCCCAGGGGACAGGGAGUGGGCAAUAAAAGACAAUGGGGUGUAGGUGAUAGGGUGUAGAUGAUCAGGGUAUAGGUGAUCAGGAUGUAGGUGAUGGGGUGUAGAUGACUGGGGUAUAGAUGAUUGAAGUGUAGGUGAUGGGGUAUAGAUGAUCGAGGUGUAGGUGAUGGGGUAUAGAUGAUUGAGGUGUAGGUGAUGGGGUGUAGGUGAUGGGGGUCAAGGUGAUCAAGGUGUAGGUGAUGGGGUGUUGGUGAUUGGGGUGUAGGUGAUCAGGGUGUAAGUGAUGGGGUAUAGGUGGUGGGGUGUAGAUGAUCGGGGUGUAGGUGAUGGGUAUAGGUGAUGGGGUGUAGGUGAUGGGGUGUAGGUGAUGGGGGUCAAGGUGAUCAAGGUGUUGGUGAUGGGGUGUUGGUGAUCGGGGUGUAAGUGAUGAGGUAUAGGUGGUGGGGUGUAGAUGAUUGGGGUGUAGGUGAUGGGGUGUAGGUGACGGGUAUAGGUGAUGGGGUAUAGAUGAUCAGGGUGUAGGUGAUUGGGGUAUAGGUGAGCAGGGUGUAAGUGAAGGGGUAUAGGUGGUGGGGUAUAGAUGAUCAGGUGUAGGUGACUGGGGUUUGGGUGAUGGGGUGUAGGUGAUGGGGUAUAGAUGAUUGAGGUAUCGGUGAUGGGGGUCAAGGUGAUCAAGGUGUAGGUGAUGGGGUGUUGGUGAUUGGGGUGUAGGUGAUCAGGGUGUAAGUGAUGAGGUAUAGGUGAUGCAGUGUAGGUGAUCAGGGUAUAGGUGAUGAGGUGUAGGUGAUGGAGUGUAGAUGAUUGAGGUGUAGGUGAUGGGGUAUAGGUGAUUGGGGUGUAGGCAAUGGGGUGUAGGUGAUCGGGGUCAAGGUGAUAGAGGUGUAGGUGAUGGGGUGUUGGUGAUUGGGGUGUAGGUGAUCAGGGUGUAGGUGAUGGGGUAUAGGUGAUUGGGGUGUAGGCAAUGGGGUGUAGGUGAUUGGGGUCAAGGAGAUAGAGGUGUAGGUGAUGGGGUGUUGGUGAUUGGGGUGUAGGUGAUCAGGGUGUAGGUGAUUGGGGUGUAGGUGAUCGGGGUGUAGGUGACCAGGGUAUAGGUGAUCAGGGUGUAGGUGAUGGGAUGUAGGUGAUCAGGGUCAAGGUGAUUGAGGUGUAGGUGAUGGGAUGUUGGCAACCAGGGUGUAGGUGAUCAGGAUGUAGGUGAUGGGGUGUAGACGAUCAGGGUGUAGGUGAUGGGCUGUUGCUGACCAGGGUGUAGGUGAUCAGGGUGUAGGUGAUCCGAACUUCCUACUCAAUUCAGGCAACAGCUCCCAGCCUGAGGCAAAUACCCCCCGAGGCAGUCAGGGUCUCACCUCCCAUGGCUCUGACGCAGGCCUCCAAGGUGAGGAGAUGGAGGUAGCAGAGGUCACUUCACUCAGCUGUCACACACCCUGAGGGAACUCCUGUCACUGUUAUCCCACCUGCAAGUGAGGAGCCAGCAUUUCUCAUGCUCCAGGGUUGGCCACAGAGCCCAUUCAAGGGAGGGAGAAGAGCCUUCGGCCAGCGCAUCCUAACCGCAGAAAGCCAAGACCUCUGCAGAAAAAGAGACCAGGCCCAUAAAAAGAGAUCCAUGAGUUGAGUUCCCUGCCAUGCCACCCCCAGGCAUCUCUGCCCACCAGCCUGCAUGAGCCAGCCCCUCAGUGCAGGUUUUUCCAAUUGGCCGUUUGUUCUUCCACCCAACACUCAAGAUUUGCUUCUCAGCCUGGACAACAUAGCAAAACCCCAUCUCUACAAAAAAUACAAAAAUUAGCUGGGCAUAGUGGCACACACCUAUAGUCCCAGCUACUCGGGAGGCUGAAGUGGGAAGAUUACCUGAGCCUGGGAGGUCAAGGUUGCAGUGAGCCAUGAUCAUGCCACUGUACUCCAGCCUGGGUGACAGAGUGAGAACUUGUCUCAAAAACAAAAAAAGAGAGGAAGAUCUGCUUCUUCAAACCCACACAACUAAUAUAAAGUAAUCAACCUCCCCACCUCAAUAACCUGAAGUUAAACAUCACACAAUAAGCCCUGAACAGAGAGCUGUAGGUCAAUGUUCCAUUUUGCUUUUAAAAGCUUCACAAGAACAUUUCAUUUAUUAAAAUAGUUUCUGUAAACUCUUUCAGAAUAACAAAAUUCACUUGCCUUGCUUAAACAGCAUUUCAAGUAGAAGUAUUUUUAUUUCAAGGCACCAUAAAAUGAUGAUCUCUCUAAGAAAUACCUCUCCUUC